rnacentral:rRNA from 1 species
UGCUAGUUGUGCGGGUUUAGACCCGCAGCGCGAAAGCUCAGUAACACGUGGCCAAACUACCCUGUGGAUGGGAACAAUCUCGGGAAACUGAGGCUAAUUCCCAAUAACGCUCCACCCCUGGAACGGGCGGAGCUGGAAACGCUACGGCGCCACAGGAUGUGGCUGCGGUCGAUUAGGUAGACGGUGGGGUAACGGCCCACCGUGCCAAUAAUCGGUACGGGUUGUGAGAGCAAGAGCCCGGAGACGGAAUCUGAGACAAGAUUCCGGGCCCUACGGGGCGCAGCAGGCGCGAAACCUUUACACUGUACGCAAGUGCGAUAAGGGGACUCCGAGUGUGAAGGCAUAGAGCCUUCACUUUUGUACACCGUAAGGUGGUGUACGAAUAAGGGCUGGGCAAGACCGGUGCCAGCCGCCGCGGUAAUACCGGCAGCCCGAGUGAUGGCCGAUAUUAUUGGGCCUAAAGCGUCCGUAGCUGGCCGGACAAGUCCGUUGGGAAAUCUGUUCGCUUAACGAGCAGGCGUCCAGCGGAAACUGUUCGGCUUGGGACCGGAAGACCUGAGGGGUACGUCCGGGGUAGGAGUGAAAUCCUGUAAUCCUGGACGGACCACCGGUGGCGAAAGCGCCUCAGGAGGACGGAUCCGACAGUGAGGGACGAAAGCUAGGGUCUCGAACCGGAUUAGAUACCCGGGUAGUCCUAGCUGUAAACGAUGCCCGCUAGGUGUUGGCGCAGGCUACGAGCCUGCGCUGUGCCGUAGGGAAGCCGAU